CACGUAGGGCGCAAGCGUUGUCCGGAAUUAUUGGGCGUAAAGAGCUCGUAGGUGGUUUGUUACGUCUGCUGUGAAAUCCUAGGGCUUAACCCUGGGCUUGCAGUGGAUACGGGCAGACUAGAGGUAGGUAGGGGAGUGGGGAAUUCCUGGUGUAGCGGUGAAAUGCGCAGAUAUCAGGAGGAACACCGGUGGCGAAGGCGCCACUCUGGGCCGAAACUGACGCUGAGGAGCGAAAGCGUGGGUAGCAAACAGG
rnacentral:rRNA from 1 species